UACAUGGGGUGCAAACGUUGCUCGGAAUUAUUGGGCGUAAAGCGCGCGUAGGCGGUUACUCAAGUCGGAUGUGAAAGCCCUCGGCUUAACUGAGGAAGUGCACCCGAAACUGAGUAGCUAGAGUACUAAAGAGGGUCGCGGAAUUCCCGGUGUAGAGGUGAAAUUCGUAGAUAUUCGCAAGAACACCAGUGGCGAAGGCGGCUCACUGGCCCGAUACUGACGCUGAGGCAUGAAAGCGUGGGGAGCAAACAGG
rnacentral:rRNA from 1 species